UUGCUUUCACACUCUUCAGUCGAUCAGCCAUGGACAAAGGUUUGCUGCUGGUCCUGUUGUGUCUGCAGGUCGUCCUGCUCACCACAGCCUUCACUUCUGCCGAUGCAGCUGCUCUGCUGAGAGAUGAUCAGCAUCAACUCCAGCCUGUUGAUCUGAUGAGAAGUCUGCAGCAAAUGAAACGAAGAAGACAGACUCGGCACCGAUUUCCACCCUGGGUAUUCUGCGGGAAGAGACGAGGAAGAUGCACUUUGACAGGAAAAGUGGAACUACCUAAACUAUCUUUAGACCAGUUUAAGCCACUCCGAAUAUAGACAUCUACAGUCAAGCUCUGCAGGAAGUGCCAUCAGAUGUAGAAGAUAGCAAAUGAAUGAAGAUAAUUGUAAUGCUUACAAAAUAAUGCAAAUGCUUUUAAUGAGAAAUAAAAGAGUUCAAAUCAGA